GGUUAAGCGACUAAGCGUACACGGUGGAUGCCCUGGCAGUCAGAGGCGAUGAAGGACGUGCUAAUCUGCGAUAAGCGUCGGUAAGGUGAUAUGAACCGUUAUAACCGGCGAUUUCCGAAUGGGGAAACCCAGUGUGAUUCGUCACACUAUCAUUACGUGAAUACAUAGCGUAAUGAAGCGAACCGGGGGAACUGAAACAUCUAAGUACCCCGAGGAAAAGAAAUCAACCGAGAUUCCCCCAGUAGCGGCGAGCGAACGGGGAGCAGCCCAGAGUCUGAAUCAGCUUGUGUGUUAGUGGAACGGUCUGGAAAGUCCGACGGUACAGGGUGAUAGUCCCGUACACCAAAAUGCACAGGUUGUGAACUCGAAGAGUAGGGCGGGACACGUGGUAUCCUGUCUGAAUAUGGGGGGACCAUCCUCCAAGGCUAAAUACUCCUGACUGACCGAUAGUGAACCAGUACCGUGAGGGAAAGGCGAAAAGAACCCCGGCGAGGGGAGUGAAAAAGAACCUGAAACCGUGUACGUACAAGCAGUGGGAGCAUCCUUUUGGGUGUGACUGCGUACCUUUUGUAUAAUGGGUCAGCGACUUAUAUUCUGUAGCAAGGUUAACCGUAUAGGGGAGCCGAAGGGAAACCGAGUCUUAACUGGGCGUUAAGUUGCAGGGUAUAGACCCGAAACCCGGUGAUCUAGCCAUGGGCAGGUUGAAGGUUGGGUAACACUAACUGGAGGACCGAACCGACUAAUGUUGAAAAAUUAGCGGAUGACUUGUGGCUGGGGGUGAAAGGCCAAUCAAACCGGGAGAUAGCUGGUUCUCCCCGAAAGCUAUUUAGGUAGCGCCUCGUGAAUUCAUCUUCGGGGGUAGAGCACUGUUUCGGCUAGGGGGUCAUCCCGACUUACCAACCCGAUGCAAACUGCGAAUACCGAAGAAUGUUAUCACGGGAGACACACGGCGGGUGCUAACGUCCGUCGUGAAGAGGGAAACAACCCAGACCGCCAGCUAAGGUCCCAAAGUCAUGGUUAAGUGGGAAACGAUGUGGGAAGGCACAGACAGCCAGGAUGUUGGCUUAGAAGCAGCCAUCAUUUAAAGAAAGCGUAAUAGCUCACUGGUCGAGUCGGCCUGCGCGGAAGAUGUAACGGGGCUAAACCAUGCACCGAAGCUGCGGCAGCGACACUAUGUGUUGUUGGGUAGGGGAGCGUUCUGUAAGCCGUUGAAGGUGUACUGUGAGGUAUGCUGGAGGUAUCAGAAGUGCGAAUGCUGACAUAAGUAACGAUAAUGCGGGUGAAAAACCCGCACGCCGGAAGACCAAGGGUUCCUGUCCAACGUUAAUCGGGGCAGGGUGAGUCGACCCCUAAGGCGAGGCCGAAAGGCGUAGUCGAUGGGAAACAGGUUAAUAUUCCUGUACUUGGUGUUACUGCGAAGGGGGGACGGAGAAGGCUAUGUUAGCCGGGCGACGGUUGUCCCGGUUUAAGCAUGUAGGCGGAGGUUCCAGGUAAAUCCGGUACCUUUUUAACGCUGAGGUGUGAUGACGAGGCACUACGGUGCUGAAGUAACAAAUGCCCUGCUUCCAGGAAAAGCCUCUAAGCAUCAGGUAACACAAAAUCGUACCCCAAACCGACACAGGUGGUCAGGUAGAGAAUACCAAGGCGCUUGAGAGAACUCGGGUGAAGGAACUAGGCAAAAUGGUGCCGUAACUUCGGGAGAAGGCACGCUGAUAUGUAGGUGAAGUGAUUUACUCAUGGAGCUGAAAUCAGUCGAAGAUACCAGCUGGCUGCAACUGUUUAUUAAAAACACAGCACUGUGCAAACACGAAAGUGGACGUAUACGGUGUGACGCCUGCCCGGUGCCGGAAGGUUAAUUGAUGGGGUUAUCCGUAAGGAGAAGCUCUUGAUCGAAGCCCCGGUAAACGGCGGCCGUAACUAUAACGGUCCUAAGGUAGCGAAAUUCCUUGUCGGGUAAGUUCCGACCUGCACGAAUGGCGUAAUGAUGGCCAGGCUGUCUCCACCCGAGACUCAGUGAAAUUGAACUCGCUGUGAAGAUGCAGUGUACCCGCGGCAAGACGGAAAGACCCCGUGAACCUUUACUAUAGCUUGACACUGAACACUGGUCCUUGAUGUGUAGGAUAGGUGGGAGGCUUUGAAGUGUGGACGCCAGUCUGCAUGGAGCCAUCCUUGAAAUACCACCCUUUAAUGGCUGGUGUUCUAACGUGGACCCGUAAUCCGGGUUGCGGACAGUGUCUGGUGGGUAGUUUGACUGGGGCGGUCUCCUCCUAAAGAGUAACGGAGGAGCACGAAGGUUAGCUAAUCCUGGUCGGACAUCAGGAGGUUAGUGCAAAGGCAUAAGCUAGCUUGACUGCGAGAGUGACGGCUCGAGCAGGUGCGAAAGCAGGUCUUAGUGAUCCGGUGGUUCUGAAUGGAAGGGCCAUCGCUCAACGGAUAAAAGGUACUCCGGGGAUAACAGGCUGAUACCGCCCAAGAGUUCAUAUCGACGGCGGUGUUUGGCACCUCGAUGUCGGCUCAUCACAUCCUGGGGCUGAAGUAGGUCCCAAGGGUAUGGCUGUUCGCCAUUUAAAGUGGUACGCGAGCUGGGUUUAGAACGUCGUGAGACAGUUCGGUCCCUAUCUGCCGUGGGCGCUGGAGAAUUGAGGGGGGCUGCUCCUAGUACGAGAGGACCGGAGUGGACGCAUCACUGGUGUUCGGGUUGUCAUGCCAAUGGCAUUGCCCGGUAGCUAAAUGCGGAAGAGAUAAGUGCUGAAAGCAUCUAAGCACGAAACUUGCCCCGAGAUGAGUUCUCCCUGAGACUUUAAGUCUCCUGAAGGAACGUUGAAGACGACGACGUUGAUAGGUCGGGUGUGUAAGUGUAGCGAUACAUUGAGCUAACCGAUACUAAUGAACCGUGAGGCUUAACCUU
rnacentral:rRNA from 1 species